rnacentral:rRNA from 1 species
UACGAAAGGAGCAGGUGUUAUUCAGAUUAACUGGGCGUAAAGGGCAUGUAGGUGGUUUGUUAUGUGUAUUAUAAAAGCUUAAAGCUUAACUUUGCGUUAUAAUAUAUACAGCUAAACUAGAGUUAGGUAGGGGGCAGUAGAAUUUCUAAUGUAAAGGUGAAAUUUGAUAAAAUUAGAGAGAAUACCAAGGGCGUAAGCAAUUGUCUGGGCCUUAACUGACACUGAGGUGCGAAGGCGUGGGGAGCGAAUAGG